rfam:Glycine soja cultivar W05 scaffold810_51, whole genome shotgun sequence.
AAAAGGGCUUCUUUUGAAGCCACCAUCUUUAGAAGUGGCAGAUAA